ensembl:lncRNA ETS2-AS1 ETS2 antisense RNA 1
GCCCCUCCAGGCCCUCCCCGCCGUCUGCAAAGCUCUUCAGCUGGGAGAGGAGGAAAGGAUAAGAAGAUAAGUGGGAAGGGGAAGAAAGAAUAAUUGCUCUCCUUGGAAGGUCUGGAUCUUAGGCAGAUAAAGAAACUUCAGCUUCUUUGGGAAAGACGCCCACUCAACAUGAAGAUGACAAGGAUGAAGACCUUUAUGAUGAUCCAUUCCCACUUACUGAAUAUGGUCCUUUGGGAUCAGAGAGCACAGCUGCCACCACCAAGGAGCUGCAAUCACCACCACCAAGAAGCUGUAGCAACAGAGACCAGCGCAACGGUACUGUGAGGACCCAAGAAAACCCAGCUGUGAGCCAGGAGCUUUCCUCCCUGAAGCUUUCAACACCACGGGAAUUGAUUCAUGGCCCUGUCAUUUCAUCUCAUUCCUCGUGGACUCUCAGCAUCUUUAGAAUGACCUGAACAUUGUGGAGGGAGUCCAGAAUCCCUACCCCUGGGCUCUGAGGCAAUGCCUUGGGUUUUUGCAUUGUCUCUUUUCUAGUAAUGGCAGCAACAACAACAACAGCGAAAACCCCAGCUCAACCCACUCUGACCCUAGCGCUCUCUUCCUGGUGUCUUCACUUGCACAGCUUAAAAACUAUAAAUAACAAGGCCCUUUUCCAAAUGUCUUUUGGUAAACUAUGCCUGACCCUGAAAACAAGGCCACCAUCUUCCAGGUGGGAGUGGCCUGUGAGAUUAUAACCUCAGUCCUCUUUCCUAAUAACUGGCUGCUGUGAUCUA